rnacentral:lncRNA from 1 species
GGAGGACUGCUCGAGAAGAAAAAGUAGCAUUUCUUUUCUAAUAUGAUAAUUUUACGAGGAUGAAGGGUGGUAUUGGGGACUGCUAGAGAUGCUCUUAGAUGCUUGUGUGGCAUCAUCAACAUAUGGAGGGAGAUGAAAUAGAAUGCGCGAGGCAAACAUACAUUUGUACGGCAUUUUAGUUUACUGUUCUAAGAAUGCGGG